GACGUAGGGCGCGAGCGUUGUCCGGAUUUAUUGGGCGUAAAGAGCUCGUAGGCGGCUUGUCGCGUCGUCCGUGAAAACUCACAGCUCAACUGUGAGCUUGCGGUCGAUACGGGCAGGCUAGAGUUCGGUAGGGGGAGACUGGAAUUCCUGGUGUAGCGGUGAAAUGCGCAGAUAUCAGGAGGAACACCGGUGGCGAAGGCGGGUCUCUGGGCCGAUACUGACGUGAGGAGCGAAAGCGUGGGGAGCGAACAGG
rnacentral:rRNA from 1 species